rnacentral:rRNA from 1 species
UACGUAGGGUGCGAGCGUUAAUCGGAAUUACUGGGCGUAAAGCGUGCGCAGGCGGUUACUUAAGUCAGGUGUGAAAGCCCUGGGCUUAACCUAGGAAUUGGGCUUGAGGCUGGGUAGCUUUGAGUGUGGCAGAGGGAGGUGGAAUUCCACGUGUAGCAGUGAAAUGCGUAGAGAUGUGGAGGAACACCGAUGGCGAAGGCGGCCAUCUGGCCCGCAAUUGACGCUGAGGCGCGAAAGCGUGGGGAGCACCCAGG